rnacentral:rRNA from 1 species
UUAAGCCAUGCAUGUAAWAGUACAUCGRAUAGAGAAACUGCGUACGGCUCAUUAGAGCAGAUAUGCACUUGUCGAGGUUYCCCMUGGAUAACUGCGGUAAUUCUGGAGCUAAUACAUGCAAUAUGCCCCGACUCACGGAGGGGUGCACUUAUUAGUACAGACCAAUCCUUCAAAAGAGGACGUUUGUUGACUCUGAAUAACCUAGUUAAUCGUCGGUUUACCGAUGAUGUCCUCGRAAAGUGUCUGCCCUAUCAACCUGGUGGUAGUCUAUUAGUCUACCAUGGUUAUAACGGGUAACGGAGAAUCAGGGUUCGACUCCGGAGAGGGAGCCUUAGAAACGGCUACCACAUCCAAGGAAGGCAGCAGGCGUGAAACUUAUCCACUGCAUAUAGUGAGAUAGUGACUAAACAUAAAAAGACCAUUCCGUUCGGAGCGGUUUUUUCAAUGAAUAGAGUUUAAAACACUUUAUGAGGAUCAAAUGGAGGGCAAGUCUGGUGCCAGCAGCCGCGGUAAUUCCAGCUCCAUUAAUGUAAUUCGUCAUUGCUGCGGUUAAAAAGCUCGUAGUUGGAUCUUAGUUGCGUGUUUUUGUUCCUCAACGAGGUUAACUUAAACUGCGACUAUUUGCUAGUUUUCGAUAAUUGACUUCGGUCGUUAUUGUGACUAGCGAGUUACUUUGAACAAAUCAGAGUGCUCAAAACAGGCGUCUGCCUGAAUACUCCAUCAUAGAAUAAUAGAAGAGGACUUCGGUCUCUUUUAUUGGUUUAAAGAUCGAAAUAAUGGUUAAGAGGGACAAUUCGGGGGCAUUCGUAUCCCUGCGCGAGAGGUGAAAUUCGUGGACCGCAGGGGGACGCCCAAAAGCGAAAGCAUUUGCCAAGAAUGUCUUCAUUAAUCAAGAACGAAAGUCAGAGGUUCGAAGGCGAUUAGAUACCGCCCUAGUUCUGACCGUAAACUAUGCCAUCUAGCGAUCCGAUGGGGUAURUAUACCUUGUCGGGGAGUUUCCCGGAAACGAAAGUCUUUCGGUUCCGGGGGUAGUAUGGUUGCAAAGCUGAAACUUAAAGAAAUUGACGGAAGGGCACCACAAGGAGUGGAGCUUGCGGCUUAAUUUGACUCAACACGGGAAAACUCACCCGGCCCGGACACCGUUAGGAUUGACAGAUUGAAAGCUCUUUCUAGAUUUGGUGGUUGGUGGUGCAUGGCCGUUCUUAGUUGGUGGAGUGAUUUGUCUGGUUUAUUCCGAUAACGAGCGAGACUCUAACCUGCUAAAUAGUGACGGGAUAACUUUGUCCCUGUUACUUCUUAGAGGGAUUAGUGGUGUUUAGCCACACUAGAUUGAGCGAUAACAGGUCUGUGAUGCCCUUAGAUGUCCGGGGCUGCACGCGUGCUACACUGGAAGAAUCAGCGUGUUUUUCCAUURCCGAAAGGUAUUGGUAAACCGUUGAAACUCUUCCGUGACCGGGAUAGGGAAUUGAAAUUAUUUCCCUUAAACGAGGAAUUCCUAGUAAGUGUGAGUCAUCAGCUCACGUUGAUUACGUCCCUGCCCUUUGUACACACCGCCCGUCGCUAUCCGGGACUGAGUUGUUUCGAGAGGAGUGGAGACCGUUGUCUUGGGGUCCAUUGGGACUUCGGGAUGAUGGGAACUACCCCAAUCGCAAUGGCUUGAACCGGGUAAAAGUCGUAACAAGGUAGCU